rnacentral:snRNA from 1 species
CUUGCUUCUCGGCCUUUUGGCUAAGAUCAAGUGUAGUAUCUGUUCUUAUCAGUUUAAAGUGAUUAGAAAAAGAGAUCUAUGAUCUACUCCACAGUCAGAGCAGUUGUCCUGGAAAUGCAUCUGUACAUAGAACUAUGUAUGAGAAAUUCCUU